CCUGUAUGCUUUAUAAGUUUAUUUCAUAAACUUGGCUUCCACUUUUAGAAUAGCUUGUGUGCUAUGUAUAAAUUAUUCCUUUGGGGCUGUAAAUGAGAGGUCUGUAACAAAUUUGGAACUUAACUAGGUUGUCAUUACAUUCUUUCAGGAAUCUAAUAUAUUGGUCAUCGACAAUAGCUGUUUGCACUCUUGUGUUAUGAGCAUGUUCAAGGUUCUAUAUAGGAGCCUCUGUUCAAAUAAGUUAAUGGAGCUGCUUGUGAAGUCACUUAUCGACAAAAGACAAAAAGAAAAAACAAGAAGCUAAAAAUGACCAUAGCUUAGUAAGAAUUUCUUUGGUCGAUUAUUUGUUUUUGAAAAUUGUGAUUAAAUCAUGGUGUUAUUGAGUUCAUUCUAAAUGAUGAAAUAAUCUAUACUGGGAAACAGCUAUGUAAUAUGAUUUUGAGAAUCAAGAAGAAAAGCUAAUUGUCUUUUGUGCAUGCUGUGUGUCCCAGGUUUGUCUAAAUGCAAUGUUGCAUGUUUGCUUGUGUUGUGUUAUGAAUUAUAUAAUUUUCUUUAGAGCUGUAGUCAAAGGAGAAUAAUCUAUUUUUUGUUUAGCGAUGUUGCAUCCUGGACAAGGUUGUUAUGAAGUCAAGAUGACAAUGAUGAUCAUUGUUGUUAUUAUGAUAUAAUGUUUGUGCAUUAUUGUUUUAAUGAAUUUAAUGGUUUCUCAGAAUCAAUGAUAAUUAUUUUCUUUGAAUGGUUGAACCUUCAUAUAAAUUCAAGGCCUCAUAAAAUCUUUUCAAAGCUUGCUCUGUGAUACUUUGAUGUUCAGAGCUGUUUGACAAUUAAAGCUGUAUCUAAUAGGGGCUCCCAGUUCUGGCCAAAAAAUAAUAAAAAAAGGGUUUCCCAGUCAGUUGUCAUUUUUUGGUGUCACUUCCUAUUUGUG